GGUUAGUACGUUACCUGUACGCUUCAAAUUCUGAUAAAAUAACUUUAAAACGGCGAAUUCGAGGUAGGUGUUGUUUUAUUUUGGAUUAUAUAGUAGUAAUCGAACAUUUGUUGAUUUAAUCAUUUCAAAAUGGUUGUCCCUCCUUAGUUACGCCUGGUCAACUGUGGAUUUGACGGCAACUUUUAGCCAAUGAAAAAAAUUGUUACAUACAAAUUGCAUUAGAACUAUUUAUUUAC
rnacentral:lncRNA from 1 species